rnacentral:lncRNA from 1 species
AUAAAUUGAGAGCUUAGAAAGGAAUUUUAACAUUAGAAGUUCAAAAAUAGAGAAAAGAUGAAAAUAUACAACUAAAUUCUAGAGUAUCCAAAAUCAGAAAAUACUACUUGUCUCACUUCUGUUCACCUCUAUUGUGAUUGUUGAGUGCAUUCUUGAGUGUUAUUGGAAUUCUAGUGUAUUAUUCUCGGGUUUUCUGGUGUUAAUUGGUUUCUGGUAUUUAUGUUGUUCAAUUGGGUUUGCUGAGCUUAUCUAUUGGUGCUAAAGUCCUAUUGCAUCUAUUCCUGGACUCUUCCUAUUUGGUUUUCUUCAUCUAUACUGGGAUUUAUGCUGUCAUUACUGGUUUAUUGUUGUGGUCUGCUGCUGUUAUUACUACUGCCGUUGAUCUCUCUUUUUCUUCUGUUUGACAUUCCAGGUACACAAUUGUAGCCUUGCCCCUUUGUAAGCUGAAAAAUUUGAAGCAUGAAUAAAAUACAGCCUUAAGGAUUGAAGACAUUAGUCAUAUUUGCAUUCUGAGUUGUAUAUGUAUAUGUUAGAUAGUAGCUAGGUGGUAUCAUGUGAGUAGUUGG